GAUGAACGCUGGCGGCGUGCCUAAUACAUGCGAGUCGAGCGAACAGACGAGGAGCUUGCUCCUCUGACGUUAGCGGCGGACGGGUGAGUAACACGUGGAUAACCUACCUAUAAGACUGGGAUAACUUCGGGAAACCGGAGCUAAUACCGGAUAAUAUAUUGAACCGCAUGGUUCAAUAGUGAAAGACGGUUUUGCUGUCACUUAUAGAUGGAUCCGCGCCGCAUUAGCUAGUUGGUAAGGUAACGGCUUACCAAGGCAACGAUGCGUAGCCGACCUGAGAGGGUGGUCGGCCACACGAGAACUGAGACACGGUCCAGACUCCUACGGGAGGCAGCAGUAGGGAAUCUUCCGCAAUGGGCGAAAGCCUGACGGAGCAACGCCGCGUGAGUGAUGAAGGUCUUCGGAUCGUAAAACUCUGUUAUUAGGGAAGAACAAAUGUGUAAGUAACUAUGCACGUCUUGACGGUACCUAAUCAGAAAGCCACGGCUAACUACGUG
rnacentral:rRNA from 1 species